GCCUGGGUGGCUCAGUUGGUUGAGCGUCUGACUUUGGCUCAGGUCAUGAUCUCGCGGUUUGUGGGUUUGAGCCCCAUGUCAGGCU
rnacentral:tRNA from 1 species